AAGUAAGAUGAUGCCUGACUGAGCCAUGGAGAUGGAAGUCGGGCCCUCAGCAAGAAGAACCAAUGGGACAUGAUGGUCCUUAGGAUUUGAGAGUGGAACGGAAGUCUCAAGGAUGCUCCAGAUCCUACAAACAUUGUGUCUCAUUCAUUCUGGAAUGGAAUGUGAAGCCUCAGUUGCUGAGAACUUUCACCACUGCGGUGGAGUAGCCAACAUCUCUACGUGCUCAUUCAGUCAUGCGCACACAAGACUUUGCAGUACGGCCCUGCUGAGAUUAGACUUCUGUCUACUUAGGGGCUGUGACCUGGGAGGAUUGAGAAGAUCAGUCAGAAAACUUGCCUCCAGAUCUUCCCUGUUGGGUUCAUUUCUGCACAUCAUUCUCAAGUGGUGA
rnacentral:lncRNA from 1 species